AAAUGGUCAAUUACUUCUUGACAAAGACAUGAUGAACAAAAGAGAGUGGAAGACAAUUAGUAAAUAACGGUAAAAAUAUCAAUUGAAAUGAGAAAGACAAAUUAACAAAUGCAAACGAUGAAAGAAGAAAUUAAUGCGAGGUAGUAAUGAGAGAAGAGUGAAAGGUAAUUUUUCUCAUUAUCUUAACCGAUGAGCAACCCUCACCUGAUUAAGCAAUUAGUAACAUCUAGAUGGCAGUGUUUUUUUAUUGUUAGAUUUUUAUUUUUUGCUUUGUUUUUAUUCUUUGCUUGUCUCAUGAGUUAUUAAAAUUAAGAAGCAAGAAUUAAAGAUAAUUACUUAUUUCAAUUGGAUUAUCAACACAAUCUUGGUUCACCAAUGUGAUCAAUAUGUGUAGGCUUAACCAGUUUUCUGUGAAUCUUUCAUUAGGUUAAACAACCAAACUAACUAAUGGAUUAUUGUCUAUCUCAUCAACAUCGUUUUACAUUAUUGCCUCAAUAGCUGUAUGUCCAUCAAUCAAUUCAUUAGAAUCAAGAGAAUGUUUAAAUGGAUGAUUAACAAGAAGCAAUUACAUGUACGUGGGAACAAGAAAGGAACUAAUUUUCGGACCAAGUAAUUAUAUCAUGGAAAUUGUUUUACAAAUUGAAUAGUUUUAUCUUUACAGUUUUACAAUGUGUUGAAGUUGCUUGUUCACUUGCUUUUUUUGUGUUAGUCGAGACAGAAGACAUCGUAAACUAUCUUCUGAUCGAUUAAUAAUCUUCAAACAUACGCUUACUUCAACCAAAAGGAACCCAAAGGUUACCCAAAGAUUGAACAUUUGUUUCAGGUGAAAAGAUCAGAAAUAUAGCCAAAAAUUUCUGUGUUGGCUUGGAAAUCAAAAUAUUAACAGAGAUGUUCAGAAAGAAUCCAAACAAAACAAAAGAUUAUUCUCGAUGAUUAAUGAAUUGGUAAUGGAGUCAAAGUAAUGGGAAAGGACAAAAAUGAGAUUCGAAAUUGAUCCUGAUUGAAAAAGACUGUUCGACUUUCAAAAACAGAGUUCACCGUAUGAAUCAAGAUAAUGUUUAACAAUCCUUAACCAUGAGACAAGAAAGCAAGGGUCUGGUUGAAACUCACUCUAUUCAACUGAUAAUGGUGAAUGUUUUCAAGGAAUUCUUUUGAAGAAACGAGAUUCUCAAUCAUAACGUUAAAGUAUAUCAACAUUCGAGAGGAAACCUAAAUUGAGCCAAGUAAGCAUCGAUAUCAUCUUGGAAUGCGCUCAUUUUAAAUCAUUUGUGGUACACUAGGAUGGUGAAUAAGAUGAAUGAUCAUGGUGAUGGCAGUGAAAUCUAUCUCCUGUGAAAUGAUCAAAAUAAUCUUUUGAGAAUGAUAAACUAUCUUCUUGAUGUAAACACUCAUGAAUCGUCCAUAUUAACUAAAGAUAAUUCAAAAGAAGCUAUAAUGGUGAAAAAUCUGGAUUUAAUGAGAUGGCUGAUUAUUCAGAAUAGACUGGAGUUUGAAAAAGAUGUAUAUUCUGCAAACCGGGACUAGGCGUUCUAAGAUUUCAAAGGAAUGGCGUUCAUCUAAUGACAAGGGAAUCUAAUUCCAGCUUCAACCUUUUUCAACAUAAUUGUGCAGUUGAUCAUGAAUGAUGCAUUGAAGAAAGUGAAAAUAGUCGAUUGAACAAAAGAAAAUGAAAGAUCGAACGACAUCAGGCUCAGUGUAAAAUACGAUACAUUCUGUUAUUAACAUUGGUAUGGUUAAUUGAUUGGUUAACUUUAUUUAACCUCAGGUGGUUCAGGAUAUUAUGUGAGAAGCAAGUCAGUUACGUUGAUCAAACUGGAUGUUACCCGCCGGGCUUAGUUAAAAAUAUUGGUCACAAUUUGAUAAGAAAGUGUAAUGAUAGAAUAAUCUGUUUAAUAUUUCUAACUCGACCAAAAAAUCUGGUUCAAAUUUCAUUUCAUCUGAGCUCAAUCAAAGAACUGGCAAGAACUUCUAUCUCAUACAUUUUCCAUAUGAUGUAACCCAAGUAACAAUGGAGGAAAUCACAAAGGUCAACACUUUUAACCAGAAGCUAAAAUUUCAACAGAUGGACAUACUUUGAAAGACAUGAAAGAAAUUUGACGACAAUUAUCCAAACAUAAUGAAAAUUGAUGUCAACAAGUGGAAUCAUUUGAACUAUCGAUUGGUAUAAUCGAAUUGGAAGUUGAUAAGAAAAAUCUAGAAAAGAUUUAUCAAGAGAAAACUCGAAGAAAGGUAUUCAAAGUUUCCGAAAUCAAGUUAAUUCAAGUAUAAAACUACAUCAAAUUAAUGGAUCAAAACUCUAAAUCUUGGACAAAGGAAAUUGAUUAAAACACUCGAACAAAUCAAAUCAUUCAAUCAACUGACUCUUAAAGCCCAAAUUUACACAACAAAUCAACCAGAGGUGAAAAGAUGAUACGAACGUUGAUUGGCAAUUGACUGGUUCAACAUUGAAAAAUGAAUUUUCCCGGAUUGGAAACAUUUCAAUUCAUUAACAGUAUUUCAAGGGCUCAACUUGUUACACAAUGUAUUACCAUUCAUGCCUGUUGACAUAAAUUGGAAUUGAAUCAAUUAUCUUUUUUACUUGGUUGAUUUGGUUUAUCAACAGCCCAUGCAAUAUAAACUGCAGUUCAUCUGAUUAAACACCUGGCCAGGUCGAAUCAGUUGAUUCGAAAAAAAUGCGUAACAAUUUGAUAAACAGCUAUUCAAUUUGGUGUGUUUAUGUUCCUUUCAGCAAACUGUUAAUAAGAUUAUUAACAAGCAAGUUAUUUUGAUUGCAAAUGCUCUAACUGGAUAUACAUUAUAAAUAGUUAAUUCAAUGUUUAACUUGUUUCAACUCAACGAUGGAACCCAUUUCAAUCAGAAAAUUAACGUAACCUGAUAAUAGGCGAAACCCAAUUUCAUCUCUUGUUCAACCCUCCAUAACCAUUAUGAUUGCUAUGAACCCAGAUGAUCAUAAAUGAUGCUCUGAAGAGAGUGCAAAAAACAAAACGAUUGGACAAGAGGACAGAGAAAAAGGUUCAAAUGCAGAAGCAAACAGAUACAUCAUUAAUGAAGCAAGUUCACUUUCUAUGUGUAUUAUUGAAUUGAGCCGAGUGUUUUUGACGUCAAUAAACUAAAAUGGAUUCCAACUGAAUCAUAACCAUCACCAUCAUUAGUAUUACUCUUGUAUCUUCAAACCAUAAUGGACUUUCACACUAAAUAAUAUCUUCUUUUUUCUUCCUUCUUGUCAAUUUGGUUAUUUAUAUGCUUAACCAUUUUUCUUAAACUAAUGACGAUAAUAAGUUAAUUAGAAAUUCAAGGCUUCAACCAGUAAAUGUAAUCAUCUGCAAAUAAACGCCGGUUUCAACCAUUUCUUGAUA